CGCACACUAACCACGUAUUUGAUAUAGAUUUUUGCUAUUAAAAUUAAAAGGAAGAUUUGUAUCGUUGAAUAACACUCCAUCACUCAUGUUGUGUUUCCUGAUCCUCAGAUGGACUUACACAGCUGGAACUGGAGCAGAUAUCUUGAGCUGUCAACAUUUCUCUGAUCUUUCCAGUUGUCAUUGGAAACUUCAGACGCAGAAGAUCACGACUGCAGUCACAAUCCACAGAGAUCCAACAACGACAGAAAUCAACACUAACAGAGAAACAGAGACUGGAGGAACUGAAGAAGAGUAAAAGAGAGACAGACUUGAAUGUCUUGUAGACGUGCUGGUCCACGCUUCCUACCAGUGGGUGGCGGUAAUGCUCCAGCUCGUUUGUCAACCGCCAAUAAACCCAAGAAGAAGAAGAAGAAGGAAAAGAAGAAGAAGAAGAAGAAGA